CAUGGCUUUAAAUAAAUAGAUUUUUCAUUAAUGUAUGUUUUAUUCCAGAUGGCUAGGUCUACUUUGGGACAAAAAAGCUUGUUAAAUCAAAGGAUGAAGCCUUCGCCUUAUUCAAAGAGGUACAUGCAUUACCCAUAGGUGGUCAUUCUGGUAUUAAAAGAACUAUUUCUACUCUCUCCAACAGGUGGUAUUGGAAGAGAAUGACAAUAGAUGUCACAAACUGGAUUAUGGAAUGCGAGAAGUGCCAAAAGGUUGGAAGGCCCCUCAUUUCAACGCAACCGUUACAGUGCAUUAAGGUGUCUGCAGUCUGGGAACUUGUAGGCAUCGACUUGAUAGGACCUUUAACCAAAACGGUGGAAGGCUAUCAGUACAUUUUCACA